ACUCGGCUGGCUCAGUCAGUAGAGCAUGCGACUGUUGAUCUCAGGAUUGUGGGUGUGAGCCCCAUGGUGGGUG
rnacentral:tRNA from 1 species